rnacentral:rRNA from 1 species
AUUGAACGCUGGCGGCAUGCUUUACACAUGCAAGUCGAACGGUAACAGGCCGCAAGGUGCUGACGAGUGGCGAACGGGUGAGUAAUGCAUCGGAACGUGCCCAGUCGUGGGGGAUAACGCAGCGAAAGCUGCGCUAAUACCGCAUACGAUCUAUGGAUGAAAGCGGGGGACCGUAAGGCCUCGCGCGAUUGGAGCGGCCGAUGUCAGAUUAGGUAGUUGGUGGGGUAAAGGCGCACCAAGCCAACGAUCGGUAGCUGGGCUGAGAGGACGACCAGGCACACUGGGACUGAGACACGGCCCAGACUCCUACGGGAGGCAGCAGUGGGGAAUUUUGGACAAUGGGCGCAAGCCUGAUCCAGCAAUGCCGCGUGCAGGAAGAAGGCCUUCGGGUUGUAAACUGCUUUUGUACGGAACGAAACGAUCCUGGUUAAUACCUGGGGCUAAUGACGGUACCGUAAGAAUAAGCACCGGCUAACUACGUGCCAGCAGCCGCGGUAACAC